GACAGAGGCCUCAAGCGUUAGGCGGAAUCACUGGGCUUAAAGCGUGUGUAGGCGGAUCGUUAAGUGUCUUGUGAAAUCCCACGGCUCACCCGUGGAACUGCUGGGUAUACUGCCGGUCUUGGGCCACUCAGGGGCAACCGGAACAAGCGGUGGAGCGGUGAAAUGCGUAGAUAUCGCUUGGAACGCCGAAGGUGAAAACAGGUUGCUGGGAGUGCGCCGACGCUGAGACACGAAAGCCAGGGGAGCGAACGGG
rnacentral:rRNA from 1 species